GGGGAUGAUCGGCCUAGACAAAGGAUUCAUAUCACUUGUGCAUAGUCGAGGAUUCUAAGAAGCUCGUUAAACAACCUUAGAGAUGACUAAGUGCAAACUUGUCAAAAACUGCAAAAAGAGUUCUAUCUCCUUUUGCUUUCGCCUACGCUCUAGCAUAAGCUAAGACCGUAAGCCGUCUUGCCAAUCGACUUCCGAUACAUUGAUCAAGGCGUAAUAAUUUCGGGAUAGAAUAUUUGAUCUUGCCGGCAAAUAUUUGAAAGCCUUCGGGCAAUAGGCAAUAGAUUCUUUAAUGUUUCUUUCGUUUCUAAGUUAAAGAGUUGAAACAUCUUGGUGAAAGCUAAGAUUGAAGCGAAAUAAACUAUGUAGACUCAUUUGGGAAAAUCUUUUGCACGGCGGUUCGAUUCCGCCCAUCUCCACUG
rnacentral:tmRNA from 1 species